UAUAGCCCUGUUCAGGGUAAGACAUUGAUUAAUUUUGCCAUUCUGUACCACAGAGGAACAGACACGACGUCGCUCUGUGAAUUCCUGCCCGAUUCUAAUUUCAUCACAUCUUUGUGGUGAGUAGAUGAGACGAGUUAACAGUCGGCCAGAGACGGAGGGAGGGAGGGUCGGGGUCAUGAAACCCCCUCUCCCUGCAGAGUCGUCACAGAUGUCAGGGAGAUACUGGGAUACAAAGUUUUGAUGCAAAGCAAAGUAGCAGCAUUCUGCUAUCAAGUUUAUUGCAAUAUGAGGCUGACAGGAGAGGCUUCUGCAACUGCAAAUUGUAUCAUACAAGGCAAUUCAACGAAACAGUUCAUCCAUCCAUCCAUUAGCUAUAUCGCUCAUCCUUGAAGGGUAGAAGGCUGGAGCCAAUCCCUGC